GCUCUAACGAGGGAACCCCAUUGUCCAGUAGGUGCUUGAUUUGUGUCUGUGUAAAGUGCAUGAGUGGUUGCAGUUAAAAAAAAACAAAAAAAAAAACGGAAGAAUGAUAAGAGGGAUAAGAGAAAGUAGGCAUUUUGGGUUAUCUAUACAUGUUUAAAUAGAAGGGUGGUAAAUAGGAAUGUAAUUGUUUUGGUUAAUGUUUAGAUUAAAUUGGUUAAAUACAG
rnacentral:lncRNA from 1 species